UAAAAACCUCGCAAGGAAAACCCAGUGGGACAAAACCUUGUAAGGGAAAAAGAGUGCAACGCGCAUUAACUCCCCCAAAUAAGAACAUCAAUUUAUAUCCUUGAGUCUUCGCAUUCCAAUCUUGUGCAUCAUCUUCAAAACGAUCUUUGGUAGAGAUUUGAUAAAUUAACCAUAUUGACUUGAAUAAAUAUUCCGCACCGUGAAAUCAUCAUUCUUGAUAGAUGUGAACAUCUUCAUAUAAUGUCGUGGAAUAACUCUUCAA
rnacentral:lncRNA from 1 species